rnacentral:rRNA from 1 species
UACGGAGGGUGCAAGCGUUAAUCGGAAUUACUGGGCGUAAAGGGUGCGCAGGUGGUUUUUUAAGUUAGCUGUAAAAUUCCUGAGCUCAACUUAGGGAUGCCAGCUGAUACUGAAAGACUCGAGUAGGGGAGAGGGUAGUGGAAUUUCCGGUGUAGCGGUGAAAUGCGUAGAGAUCGGAAGGAACACCAGUGGCGAAGGCGGCUACCUGGCCUACUACUGACACUGAGGCACGAAAGCGUGGGGAGCAAACAGG